ensembl:lncRNA
UGGAUCCCUCGGAGCAGACAGAGUGUGUGUGUGAUUUAGAACACAAAGCAGAAGAAGCUUUUAAACUGAACGAUGUGUUGUGUGUGUGUGAGCUGCCCGGCGUUCUUCACUCAUACAGGAGCGAUGACGAGGUGGUGUUACACUCCGGUCCUGACGAGGUGAGGGGGAGAGAGCAGGUGUGGACGUCGUUGCCACGGGAACAGAGCUGGACCUCCGCCAUCUUCCUCCCUGAGCUCCGCUCUCACUGUGAGGAGGAGAGACACGCCCUGACCCAGCUGCUCAACCGAGUGGAGCGACGCGUCCUGAUUGAGAUUUAUCUGAGUGUGUGUGUUUCUGUGAGGAGAGCCGAGAGGGAAACACACUCACACACAGCACUGCUGACCUCCAGACAACACUGGGACAACUGGCCGUAUACGAGACGUUCUGGUGUUGAGGAUUUAGUGAAGUUCUGGCUGCAGGAAAAACAAGAUCCAGCUGCACAGCUCAGAAACGAGUGCAGAACAUCACGCUGUGUGCGACAGGCCGUGCUGCAGUGUGUGGUCCUGUGUCAGGAGCAGGAA